rnacentral:lncRNA from 1 species
GGGGGAAAAGCCAAAACACUUUUCAUACUGACAUAGGACAUGUUAGGAAUACAGCAGUAAACAGAGUAGAAAAAAGUUUAUCUCCAUAGGACUACAUUCCAGUUGAUGGAUAAAUGAAAAUAAGCAAAGAAAUGUAUAAUAGUCAAAGGGUGAUAUGUACCAUGAAGUAAAAGAGAAUAUGAAAUGGAAUGGAUGUUAUGGAGCUGGGGCCUUCUGAGAAACUGAGGAAGACCCCCUCUUCAAACCCUGAUUCGUUCGAUCAAGUCAGAAAGACUUCAGGAGUAACAGAAAUGAGUUUGUUAAAGAGGUAGGAAAAGAAAGGGACACUCCCAAGGGACAGAGUUGGUCCUUUCAGAGAGGAGAGGGACAACAUGCCUCUCCUGCACAUUUUAUUGGGGAUCCCAGAGAAGUUUCCAGAGAGUUCUACCCAAGUCCACUUGACUUUUGACUGAUAUCAGGGUGACAUCAGACUUUCAAGUAUCCACUGUCAUGGCAGUUUUAGGUCACCUUGGCCCAUGCUGAAUGGUUCUUAUUGGAUUCUGAAACAUACAUUCUGAUGGGUUUUAUGGUUAGGAAAAACUAUUCUUAUCUCCCCGAGUUUCAGGAUCUGGUCACAAAAGUCUUCCCUUCAGGAUAACUUGGGUUCCUCUUAUCAAUAUUAUUUGGGGCCUGCAUUUCUCCUACAGUGAACAGGUAGUUUGCUGAAGAAUGUGACAUACCCUAUCCACUUAGGCCAGACAGGACUACAGACAAAUUGCUUUUCGGAAAAGAAAGCAUGUAGGGAGCUGUUGCAGACCAGCCAUGGGCUGUGUGUGUGAGCUAUGAGCAUUUGAGCACAUGAAGGUGAAAGGAAAGUGACCACAACACUCGGAGCAACCAAAAGAUCUUUAUUGCAGCAGUGCAACAAAGAGAAAGGAAAGAAAGAGAGAGAGAGAGAGAAAAGAGAAGAGAUGAACAGGGAGAGAGCAAGAGAGAGACAGAGAGCGCGCGUAAGAAAGAUAAAGAGCAAGAGAGAGAGCAAGAGAGAGGGGGGCCUGGCAGGAGGGAGUUUUUAUAGCCCAAAUCUAAUGGGGCCUCUGGGUCUGCAAGCUGCCUUGUUGGCCCAAGG